rnacentral:rRNA from 1 species
AUUGAACGCUGGCGGCAGGCUUAACACAUGCAAGUCGGACGGUAACAGGAGGAAAGCUUGCUUUCUUUGCUGACGAGUGGCGGACGGGUGAGUAAUGCUUGGGAAUCUGUUUUAUGGAGGGGGAUAACUACGGGAAACUGUAGCUAAUACCGCGUAAUAUCGAGAGAUUAAAGUGUGGGACCGUAAGGCCACAUGCCAUAGAGUGAGCCCAAGUGGGAUUAGGUAGCUGGUGGGGUAAAGGCCUACCAAGCCGUCGAUCUCUAGCUGGUCUGAGAGGAUGACCAGCCACACUGGGACUGAGACACGGCCCAGACUCCUACGGGAGGCAGCAGUGGGGAAUAUUGCACAAUGGGCGCAAGCCUGAUGCAGCCAUGCCGCGUGAAUGAAGAAGGCCUUCGGGUUGUAAAGUUCUUUCGGUGGUGAGGAAGGUUGUAAUGUUAAUAGCAUUAUAAUUUGACGUUAGCCACAGAAGAAGCACCGGCUAACUCCGUGCCAGCAGCCGCGGUAAUACGGAGGGUGCGAGCGUUAAUCGGAAUAACUGGGCGUAAAGGGCACGCAGGCGGAUACUUAAGUGAGGUGUGAAAGCCCUGGGCUUAACCUAGGAAUUGCAUUUCAUACUGGGUAUCUAGAGUAUUUUAGGGAGGGGUAGAAUUCCACGUGUAGCGGUGAAAUGCGUAGAGAUGUGGAGGAAUACCGAAAGCGAAAGCAGCCCCUUGGGGGAAUACUGACGCUCAUGUGCGAAAGCGUGGGGAGCAAACAGG